rnacentral:rRNA from 1 species
GACGAACGCUGGCGGCGUGCUUAACACAUGCAAGUCGAACGGAAAGGCCCUGCUUUUGUGGGGUGCUCGAGUGGCGAACGGGUGAGUAACACGUGAGUAACCUGCCCUUGACUUUGGGAUAACUUCAGGAAACUGGGGCUAAUACCGGAUAGGAGCUCCUGCUGCAUGGUGGGGGUUGGAAAGUUUCGGCGGUUGGGGAUGGACUCGCGGCUUAUCAGCUUGUUGGUGGGGUAGUGGCUUACCAAGGCUUUGACGGGUAGCCGGCCUGAGAGGGUGACCGGCCACAUUGGGACUGGGAUACUGCCCAGAAUCCUACGGGGGGCAGCAGUGGGGAUUAUUGCACAAUGGGCGGAAGCCUGAUGCAGCAACGCCGCGAGCGGGAUAGCGGCCUUCGGGUUGUAAACCGCUUUCGCCUGUGACGAAGCGUGAGUGACGGUAAUGGGUAAAGAAGCACCGGCUAACUACGUG